GAUGAACGCUGGCGGCGUGCCUAAUACAUGCAAGUCGAGCGAACAGACGAGGAGCUUGCUCCUCUGACGUUAGCGGCGGACGGGUGAGUAACACGUGGAUAACCUACCUAUAAGACUGGGAUAACUUCGGGAAACCGGAGCUAAUACCGGAUAAUAUAUUGAACCGCAUGGUUCAAUAGUGAAAGACGGUUUUGCUGUCACUUAUAGAUGGAUCCGCGCCGCAUUAGCUAGUUGGUAAGGUAACGGCUUACCAAGGCUACGAUGCGUAGCCGACCUGAGAGGGUGAUCGGCCACACUGGAACUGAGACACGGUCCAGACUCCUACGGGAGGCAGCAGUCGGGAAUCUUCCGCAGUGGGCGAAAGCCUGACGGAGCAACGCCGCGUGAGUGAUGAAGGUCUUCGGAGCGUAAAACUCUGUUAUUAGGGAAGAACAAAUGUGUAAGUAACUAUGCACGUCUUGACGGUACCUAGUCAGAAAGCCACGGCUAACUACGUG
rnacentral:rRNA from 1 species